rnacentral:rRNA from 1 species
AUUGAACGCUGGCGGCAGGCCUAACACAUGCAAGUCGAGCGGAUGAAGGGAGCUUGCUCCUGCUUUCAGCGGCGGACGGGUGAGUAAUGCCUAGGAAUCUGCCUGGUAGUGGGGGAUAACGUCCGGAAAUGGGCGCUAAUACCGCAUACGUCCUGAGGGAGAAAGUGGGGGAUCUUCGGACCUCACGCUCUCAGCUGAGCCUAGGUCGGAUUAGCUAGUUGGUGGGGUAAAGGCCUACCAAGGCGACGAUCCGUAACUGGUCUGAGAGGAUGAUCAGUCACACUGGAACUGAGACACGGUCCAGACUCCUACGGGAGGCAGCAGUGGGGAAUAUUGGACAAUGGGCGAAAGCCUGAUCCAGCCAUGCCGCGUGGGUGAAGAAGGUCUUCGGAUUGUAAAGCACUUUUAGUGGGAAAGAAGAGCAGUAAGUUAAUACCUUGCUGUUUUGACGUUACCAAAAGAAUAAGCACCGGCUAACUUCGUG